rnacentral:piRNA from 1 species
UACUGGCAAAACAUCUACCUUGGUCCGC